rnacentral:tRNA from 1 species
AAAUAGGAGUAGUCUAGUUACUUUUACAAGGUAUAUAUAGCUGUGCAAAUCAGCAUUUGAU